rfam:Triticum aestivum genome assembly, contig: Triticum_aestivum_CS42_TGACv1_scaffold_331935_4BS
GUAGUAUUCCCUCCGUCCCAAAAUUCUUAUCUUACAUUUGUUUAGAUAUGGCUGUAUCUAACACUAAAAUGUAACUAGAUACAUCCGUAUUUAGACAAAUUUAAGACAAGAAUUUUGGGACGGAGGGAGUACAAA